AUUGAACGCUGGCGGCAGGCCUAACACAUGCAAGUCGAGCGAGCGGCGGACGGGUGAGUAAUGUCUGGGGACCUGCCCGCUAGAGUGGGAUAACUACUGGACACGGUGGCUAAUACCGCAUACUAUCGGAUGAACCCCUAUGGGCUUAGCUAGUUGGUGGGGUAAAGGCUCACCUAGGCGACGAUCUCUAGCUGGUCGGAGAGGAUGAUCAGCCACACUGGGAUGGAGACAGGCCCCAGACUCCUACGUGAGGAAGCAUUGGGGAAUAUUGCACAAUGGGCGCAAGCCGGAUGCAGCCAUGCCGCGUGUAUGAAGAAGGCCUUAGGGUUGUAAAGUACUUUCAGCGGGGAGGCGUUACCCGCAGAAGAAGCACCGGCUAACUCCGUGCCAGCAGCCGCGGUAAUAC
rnacentral:rRNA from 1 species